GAAGGCCCCACUGUCUUAAGAGAAUUCCCAGUGAAAUUGAAUUCGUAGUGAAGAUGCUACGUCCAAUUUGUUAGACGAAAAGACCCCAUUGAGCUUUACUGGAGACUUACAUUGCUCGGAUCGACUCUCGCCCCCAGGGGGGGGGUCGAAUUUAAAUGGAUAGCUUAGAUUAUGUGGUGUCAUAACCAUCGAUCAAGUAGUCCCUACGGGAUUGCCCCGAAGGUAGACCUGUUUGGGUGAAUGAAACCCCACUCUUUUAUGUUAAAUGAGCUAACCCUUUCUCUCUUAAGGGGGACAAUGUAAGUUGGACAGUUUGGUUGGGGCGACCGCCUUUUAAAGAGUAACGAAGGUGUGCUUAAGGUACACAAUUAAUAUCAGUAGCCUGACUGCGAGGGGGAUUCCCCCGAGCAGACACCUAAAGUCUUCUCUCUUCCCCCCCGAAGGUUAAAGACGAAUGGUGGGUUAUAGUGACCCGUUAAUUUAGAGUGGAAUAGUUAACGAUCAACAAAUAAAA
rnacentral:rRNA from 1 species